UGCUAACUAGAGAGUGCUGGGCAGAAACAUAUUGUGUGGCCUCCACAGCACUUGGAAACCAGACGUGAGGAAAUCCCAAUUCAUAGGAUCCAGUGGGGAUAUUGUGAUGACCUAGACUCCACUCUCCCUGCCCAUCACGCUUGGAGAGCUGGCCUCCAUCUCCUGAAGCCUUCCAUCAUAAUUGUAAGCUUCCUGAGACCCUCCCAGAAGCUGAACAGAUGCCAGCACCAUGCUUCCUACAAAGCCUGAAGAACUGUGAGCCAAGUAAAAUUCUUCUGUUUAUAAAUCAUCCAGACUCAGAUAUUUCUUUAUAGCACUAUAAGAAUGGCCUGAUAGAUUUGCUCUCUCUUUUUUUAUAAGGACACUAAUGGAAUCAGUCAGAAUCUCAACCUUAUGGCCUCAUUUGACUGAAGUUACCUUCUUAGAGACCAUCUCCAAAUACACCCACACAUGGAGUUAGGUCUUCAAACUGUGGAUUCUGAGGAAACACAAGUAUUAAGUUCAUAAAAGCUUAUUUUCUUUUCUUGAUUCCUCAAAUACUUGCUCUAUUGGCAUAUUUUGCAGUCACACAUGGAGGUGAUGUAGCUCUUUUCUAAUUAAUAGAUAUUAUGGUGAAGCUGUUGACACUCCAUGUACAGGAGAAUUUGGGAGAAAUAUUGUAACUCACACAAGGGAAUCUUGGGGAAAGCUGGAUAUGCACACUCUGGUAUAAGCUGGCUUGAGAUAGACAGAGGGCUGGGGUUUUUGUAGUUGGACUGGAGAUAUGUUAUCUUGCAUUGCUGAGGAUCUAAGAGGCUUGAUUGUCCCACAGGCAGUUGCACAAAUAUGUGCACAAAUAAAGUGGAAGGUGGAGAUUGAAAGCUGCCA
rnacentral:lncRNA from 13 species